rnacentral:tRNA from 1 species
GGUGGCUCAGCAGUAGAGCGCAUGCCUUGCACGCUUGAGGCCCUGGGUUCGAUUCUUAGCACCA